CAAAUUGGUUUGCUUCUUUUAUUUUCCACGUAAACAUCUAUUUAUUUCAGUUUCAGUUUGUCCCAAUCAACUAACAUUGGAAUCGCAUUUGUGGCGUUCUACCACGCUGGCGCCAGCUUCCUAUCCCUCCCCUUACUGUCUUCUUGGCUGUGAAUCUGGAAGCCCAAUUUUUGGAUGAUGCUGCAGCAGUUGCAUAUGUGCCGCUCGCCGCCGGCGGAUGGGGCCACGUGCAGAGGCAAUGGGAUGGGAAGCGAUGUCACCGUGUGCUUCACUGUCAAGGGAGCCUGUACUUGCUGCUGUGCAUGAUCCCUUCAAUUCGACCAUCCCUGUCCCAGCGGCCUAGCCGAAUUUGUGCUCCCUGCUCUUUGUCCCCUAUUCUUCUUCACUCGAUACAGGUACUUCUAUAUCCUUUUCUUUUGUGAGCUGCUAGCCUGCUACUGCUUGCGUGUUUCUGAUUGCUGCAUUCAGUAUACAUACAUAUCUGGGUGAUCAAAACUCAGUGUAUGAUCUUACGAAUGAUACAAUAUCUCAUGGAUUGUGAUUGUUUCAGUUGGCCGUGCAAUUUAUGAGCUAUUCAGUAUUCACUCAUAGCUAACUGUUCCUGUUGCUGGAAUGUUGUAGCAAAAGAUUUAGAACUUUGAUUUAUUACAAAUAUUCUAACUGCUGCAGCUGAGCCACAGUAACCAACUGUUAAUCGGAACUCCACUUUAAGAAAUUGACUAUAAGAAUUGAUCUUAUCCUUCCAAUCAUAUAGUCAGGAAUGUUAAACCUUGCAGUACAUUAAAUAUUGAUCGUGGUAGACAUGUAUGGAUGAAAGGAACUCAAAUUUAGCAACUAUAUGCUUUUUGGCUGGUUGAAUGUCUUUGUCUGCUCUGAGCAAAGAUGCCCAUAUCCCAUGACUUGUGUCUCUGAAACAAAUUCAUAUAUGCAGCUUUCAGUUAUAUAGAGAUUGUAACAUUUACCUUGCUGA